rnacentral:rRNA from 1 species
GGUUAAGCGACUAAGCGUACACGGUGGAUGCCCUGGCAGUCAGAGGCGAUGAAGGGCGUGCUAAUCUGCGAUAAGCGCCGGUAAGGUGAUAUGAACCGUUAUAACCGGCGAUACCCGAAUGGGGAAACCCAGUGUGAUUCGUCACACUAUCAUUAACUGAAUCCAUAGGUUAAUGAGGCGAACCGGGGGAACUGAAACAUCUAAGUACCCCGAGGAAAAGAAAUCAACCGAGAUUCCCCCAGUAGCGGCGAGCGAACGGGGAGGAGCCCAGAGCCUGAAUCAGCAUGUGUGUUAGUGGAAGCGUCUGGAAAGGCGCGCGAUACAGGGUGACAGCCCCGUACACAAAAGCGCAUGUGCUGUGAGCUCGAUGAGUAGGGCGGGACACGUGGUAUCCUGUCUGAAUAUGGGGGGACCAUCCUCCAAGGCUAAAUACUCCUGACUGACCGAUAGUGAACCAGUACCGUGAGGGAAAGGCGAAAAGAACCCCGGCGAGGGGAGUGAAAAAGAACCUGAAACCGUGUACGUACAAGCAGUGGGAGCACAGGUUUACCUGUGUGACUGCGUACCUUUUGUAUAAUGGGUCAGCGACUUAUAUUCUGUAGCAAGGUUAACCGAAUAGGGGAGCCGGAGGGAAACCGAGUCUUAAUUGGGCGUUAAGUUGCAGGGUAUAGACCCGAAACCCGGUGAUCUAGCCAUGGGCAGGUUGAAGGUUGGGUAACACUAACUGGAGGACCGAACCGACUAAUGUUGAAAAAUUAGCGGAUGACCUGUGGCUGGGGGUGAAAGGCCAAUCAAACCGGGAGAUAGCUGGUUCUCCCCGAAAGCUAUUUAGGUAGCGCCUCGUGAAUUCAUCUCCGGGGGUAGAGCACUGUUUCGGCUAGGGGGCCAUCCCGGCUUACCAACCCGAUGCAAACUGCGAAUACCGGAGAAUGUUAUCACGGGAGACACACGGCGGGUGCUAACGUCCGUCGUGAAGAGGGAAACAACCCAGACCGCCAGCUAAGGUCCCAAAGUCAUGGUUAAGUGGGAAACGAUGUGGGAAGGCCCAGACAGCCAGGAUGUUGGCUUAGAAGCAGCCAUCAUUUAAAGAAAGCGUAAUAGCUCACUGGUCGAGUCGGCCUGCGCGGAAGAUGUAACGGGGCUAAACCAUGCACCGAAGCUGCGGCAGCGACGCUUAUGCGUUGUUGGGUAGGGGAGCGUUCUGUAAGCCUGUGAAGGUGGCCUGUGAGGGUUGCUGGAGGUAUCAGAAGUGCGAAUGCUGACAUAAGUAACGAUAAAGCGGGUGAAAAGCCCGCUCGCCGGAAGACCAAGGGUUCCUGUCCAACGUUAAUCGGGGCAGGGUGAGUCGACCCCUAAGGCGAGGCCGAAAGGCGUAGUCGAUGGGAAACGGGUUAAUAUUCCCGUACUUGGUGUUACUGCGAAGGGGGGACGGAGAAGGCUAUGUUGGCCGGGCGACGGUUGUCCCGGUUUAAGCGUGUAGGCUGGUUUUCCAGGCAAAUCCGGAAAAUCAAGGCUGAGGCGUGACGACGAGGCACUACGGUGCUGAAGCAACAAAUGCCCUGCUUCCAGGAAAAGCCUCUAAGCAUCAGGUAACAUCAAAUCGUACCCCAAACCGACACAGGUGGUCAGGUAGAGAAUACCAAGGCGCUUGAGAGAACUCGGGUGAAGGAACUAGGCAAAAUGGUGCCGUAACUUCGGGAGAAGGCACGCUGACACGUAGGUGAAGUGAUUUACUCAUGGAGCUGAAGUCAGUCGAAGAUACCAGCUGGCUGCAACUGUUUAUUAAAAACACAGCACUGUGCAAACACGAAAGUGGACGUAUACGGUGUGACGCCUGCCCGGUGCCGGAAGGUUAAUUGAUGGGGUCAGCGCAAGCGAAGCUCCUGAUCGAAGCCCCGGUAAACGGCGGCCGUAACUAUAACGGUCCUAAGGUAGCGAAAUUCCUUGUCGGGUAAGUUCCGACCUGCACGAAUGGCGUAAUGAUGGCCAGGCUGUCUCCACCCGAGACUCAGUGAAAUUGAACUCGCUGUGAAGAUGCAGUGUACCCGCGGCAAGACGGAAAGACCCCGUGAACCUUUACUAUAGCUUGACACUGAACAUUGAGCCUUGAUGUGUAGGAUAGGUGGGAGGCUUUGAAGUGUGGACGCCAGUCUGCAUGGAGCCGACCUUGAAAUACCACCCUUUAAUGUUUGAUGUUCUAACGUGGACCCGUAAUCCGGGUUGCGGACAGUGUCUGGUGGGUAGUUUGACUGGGGCGGUCUCCUCCUAAAGAGUAACGGAGGAGCACGAAGGUUGGCUAAUCCUGGUCGGACAUCAGGAGGUUAGUGCAAUGGCAUAAGCCAGCUUGACUGCGAGCGUGACGGCGCGAGCAGGUGCGAAAGCAGGUCAUAGUGAUCCGGUGGUUCUGAAUGGAAGGGCCAUCGCUCAACGGAUAAAAGGUACUCCGGGGAUAACAGGCUGAUACCGCCCAAGAGUUCAUAUCGACGGCGGUGUUUGGCACCUCGAUGUCGGCUCAUCACAUCCUGGGGCUGAAGUAGGUCCCAAGGGUAUGGCUGUUCGCCAUUUAAAGUGGUACGCGAGCUGGGUUUAGAACGUCGUGAGACAGUUCGGUCCCUAUCUGCCGUGGGCGCUGGAGAACUGAGGGGGGCUGCUCCUAGUACGAGAGGACCGGAGUGGACGCAUCACUGGUGUUCGGGUUGUCAUGCCAAUGGCACUGCCCGGUAGCUAAAUGCGGAAGAGAUAAGUGCUGAAAGCAUCUAAGCACGAAACUUGCCCCGAGAUGAGUUCUCCCUGAGACUUAGAGUCUCCUGAAGGAACGUUGAAGACGACGACGUUGAUAGGCCGGGUGUGUAAGCGCAGCGAUGCGUUGAGCUAACCGGUACUAAUGAACCGUGAGGCUUAACCUU